GUGAAUCAUCAAAUUUUUGAACGCAAAUUGCACUCUCUUCGGAGAGUAUGCCUGUUUGAGGGUCAGCCUAAUAAAAAAUCGACAUAGCCGCUGUUUCGCGGUGACAUUCGUCGGACAGUAGGUCCUCUUAAACAUUUGGGUUUUAAGCGGCUUAUCAUUUUCUUUACGAUUCUACGCACGUUUCUAAGUAUUACUUCUUAUACGUCUAAGGUAUCGAUCUUUUUUAGACGUGGC
rnacentral:misc_RNA from 1 species